rnacentral:rRNA from 1 species
UUGGAGGGCAAGUCUGGUGCCAGCAGCCGCGGUAAUUCCAGCUCCAAUAGCGUAUAUUAAAGUUGUUGCAGUUAAAAAGCUCGUAGUUGAAUUUCGGGGUUAGUAGGUUGGUCAUGCCACUGGUAUGUACUGGUCUCACUGAUUCCUCCUUCCUGAUGAGCCGUAAUGCCAUUAAUUUGGUGUUGCGAGGAAUCUGGACUGUUACUUUGAAAAAAUUAGAGUGUUUAAAGCAAGCUAACGCUUGAAUACAUUAGCAUGGAAUAAUGAAAUAGGACGUUCGAUCCUAUCUUGUUGGUUUCUAGGAUUGACGUAAUGAUUAAUAGGGAUAGUUGGGGGCAUUAGUAUUCAAUUGUCAGAGGUGAAAUUCUUGGAUUUAUUGAAGACUAGCUACUGCGAAAGCAUUCGCCAAGGAUGUUUUCAUUAAUCAAGAACGAAAGUUAGGGGAUCGAAGACGAUCAGAUACCGUCGUAGUCUUAACCAUAAACUAUGCCGACUAGGGAUCGGAUGAUGUUAAUUUUUUAAUGACUCAUUCGGCGCCUUACGGGAAACCAAAGUGUUUGGGUUC